rnacentral:rRNA from 1 species
UACGUAGGGUGCAAGCGUUGUCCGGAAUUAUUGGGCGUAAAGAGCUCGUAGGCGGUCUGUCGCGUCGGAUGUGAAAAUCCAGGGCUCAACCCUGGACCUGCAUUCGAUACGGGCAGACUAGAGUUCGGUAGGGAAGACUGGAAUUCCUGGUGUAGCGGUGAAAUGCGCAGAUAUCAGGAAGAACACCAAUGGCGAAAGCAGCUCUCUGGGACGGUACUGACGCUGAGACGCGAAAGCGUGGGGAGCGAACAGG